rnacentral:rRNA from 1 species
UACGGAGGGUGCAAGCGUUGUUCGGAAUCAUUGGGCGUAAAGCGCGUGUAGGCGGCUUGGCAAGUCAGUUGUGAAAGCCCGGGGCCCAACCCCGGAACUGCAUCUGAAACUGCCUGGCUCGAGUCCCGGAGAGGAAGGCAGAAUUCCCGGUGUAGGGGUGAAAUCCGUAGAUAUCGGGAGGAAUACCAGCGGCGAAGGCGGCCUUCUGGACGGUGACUGACGCUGAGACGCGAAAGCGUGGGGAGCAAACAGG